rnacentral:misc_RNA from 1 species
GCUGCUGAGGUGAAGGAAGGAGGUAAGGAUAAUGAAUAUCGUUCCCCUCCUCUAUCUCGACCAAAGAGGUCAGUGAACAAAGAUGAUAUGGAGUACUCUGUGAUACUGAAAUUGCGAGGUCUCCCAUACAGUGUUAGAAAAACAGAUAUUGGCAGGUUUUUCGGUGAGGAAUUUAAUGUUAAACCUGACAAGGUACACAUUGCAUACCGCUCUGAUGGAAAAGCUACUGGAGAGGCUUAUGUGGAAUUCGCCUCUACUGAAGAAGCCAAGAAAGCUAUGUGCAAGGACAAU